GCUCACUUCGACAGCACACACACUAAAACUGGAACUACACAGAGAAGAUUAGCAUGGCCCUUGCACAAGGAUGACACCCAAAUUUUUGGAGUGUUACCAAUUUUGU